CCUCGGGAGGCAGCAGUGAGGAAUAUUGGACAAUGGGCGGAAGCCUGAUCCAGCCAUGCCGCGNUGCAGGAAGACUGCCCUAUGGGUUGUAAACUGCUUUUGUACAGGAAGAAACCUUUCCACGUGUGGAGAGCUGACGGUACUGUAAGAAUAAGCAUCGGCUAACUCCGUGCCAGCAGCCGCGGUAAUACGGAGGAUGCAAGCGUUAUCCGGAAUCAUUGGGUUUAAAGGGUCCGUAGGUGGAUUGGUCAGUCAGAGGUGAAAUCCUGCAGCUCAACUGUAGAACUGCCUUUGAUACUGCCGGUCUUGAAUUAUUGUGAAGUGGUUAGAAUAUGUAGUGUAGCGGUGAAAUGCAUAGAUAUUACAUAGAAUACCGAUUGCGAAGGCAGAUCACUAACAAUAUAUUGACACUGAUGGACGAAAGCGUGGGGAGCGAACGGGAUUAGAUACCCCGGUAGUCCACGCCGUAAACGAUGGUCACUAGCUGUUCGGACUUCGGUCUGAGUGGCUAAGCGAAAGUGAUAAGUGACCCACCUGGGGAGUACGUUCGCAAGAAUGAAACUCAAAGGAAUUGACGG
rnacentral:rRNA from 1 species